rnacentral:rRNA from 1 species
UGGGGAAUUUUGGACAAUGGGCGCAAGCCUGAUCCAGCAAUGCCGCGUGCAGGAUGAAGGCCUUCGGGUUGUAAACUGCUUUUGUACGGAGCGAAAAGGUCUGCCCUAAUACGGUGGGCUCAUGACGGUACCGUAAGAAUAAGCACCGGCUAACUACGUGCCAGCAGCCGCGGUAAUACGUAGGGUGCGAGCGUUAAUCGGAAUUACUGGGCGUAAAGCGUGCGCAGGCGGUUAUAUAAGACAGAGGUGAAAUCCCCGGGCUCAACCGGGGACCUGCAUUUGUGACUGUAUAGCUAGAGUACGGUAGAGGGGGAUGGAAUUCCGCGUGUAGCAGUGAAAUGCGUAGAUAUGCGGAGGAACACCGAUGGCGAGGGCAAUCCCCUGGACCUGUACUGACGCUCAUGCACGAGAGCGUGGGGAGCAAA